CUGGUAGUCAAUUCUGUGCAUCCGUUCCUCAAACAAGGUAACAGCAGCCACCCAGCUACCGGGAAGGCAAAGAAAACCAAGCUCAAGUCCAAGGGGCACAGACGAUCCUUCUCAUGUCCGUUGAAGACGGGGCCGUGCAGAGCCUGGUGGCCGGCACUGUGACAGAAUCGUUUGAAGUGAUGGAAAAUUUGGUGAUGCAUUCUCCCCAGGGACUCAAGCACUGUAUUUUUGAGGCUGAAAAAGAAGAAGCUCUCGACAACGACCAGCACAUUUCAACCAUGGAAAGUAUCUAAUAAGCAUGGACUGAAGAUGUUUUUCAUAAUAUUUUCAUCUUUAUUGUGAAUGACAGUGAUAGCAUGUCCAAAGAAAGUGUGAAAGCAGAGGAAUGUCAGGGGAAGUCUUUUUUGUCAGUGGCAGUGUCUCCUGCACUUGCCUUAGACCUGUUAUGAUGUCAAUGCAAAUGCAAGUGCCAUUACAAUGUCAAUGUGAGAUUUCUCCCCUUGCUUUUGUCAGUUUCAAUUAGAUGCUUGAUGUUACCAUAAUGCAGUUUCUUCCCCUCCCCCACACUUAAUGUACUUAAAUUCUGAAAGUUACCACUUUUAAGAACCGUGCUCUAUUUCUUAAUGGCACUCCACAAUGAACCCGUAUUAAAAAGUAAUACAUUUUCCAUACAGAAAGGAAUAUAAAGUAAGUUCCAUAAAAGUACAACACACUUACAUUUUAAAGUAUAUAACAUUAAAUAUAUUAAAAGCACAUUGUGUCACACCAUAUAUAUUAAAUACCUUGAAAAAAGCCGGCUUUGCAAUUUAUUUUAAGUA